rnacentral:rRNA from 1 species
AGAGCAGCCGCGGUAAUACGGAGGGUGCAAGCGUUACUCGGAAUCACUGGGCGUAAAGGACGCGUAGGCGGAUUAUCAAGUCUCUUGUGAAAUCUAACGGCUUAACCGUUAAACUGCUUGGGAAACUGAUAAUCUAGAGUAAGGGAGAGGCAGAUGGAAUUCUUGGUGUAGGGGUAAAAUCCGUAGAUAUCAAGAAGAAUACCUAUUGCGAAGGCGAUCUGCUGGAACUUAACAGACGCUAAUGCGUGAAAGCGUGGGGAGCAAACAGGAUUAGAUACCCCGGUAGUCCCUGUCUCUUAUACA